rnacentral:SRP_RNA from 1 species
GCCAGGCGUGGUGGUGCACGCCUGUAAUCCCAGCUACUCGGGAGGCUGAGGCAGGGGAAUCGCUUGAGCCCAGGAGGCGGAGGUUGCAGUGAGCUGAGAUCAUGCCACUGCACUCCAGCCUGGGCAACAGAGUGAGACUCCGUCUCAA